UACGUAGGUGGCAAGCGUUGUCCGGAUUUAUUGGGCGUAAAGAGCUCGUAGGCGGUUUGUUGCGUCGGCUGUGAAAUCCCGAGGCUCAACCUCGGGUCUGCAGUCGAUACGAGCAAACUAGAGUGUUGCAGGGGAGACUGGAAUUCCUGGUGUAGCGGUGAAAUGCGCAGAUAUCAGGAGGAACACCGGUGGCGAAGGCGGGUCUCUGGGCAACAACUGACGCUGAGGAGCGAAAGCGUGGGGAGCGAACAGG
rnacentral:rRNA from 1 species